rnacentral:rRNA from 1 species
GACGAACGCUGGCGGCGUGCUUAACACAUGCAAGUCGAACGGAAAGGCCCUGCUUUUGUGGGGUGCUCGAGUGGCGAACGGGUGAGUAACACGUGAGUAACCUGCCCUUGACUUUGGGAUAACUUCAGGAAACUGGGGCUAAUACCGGAUAGGAGCUCCUGCUGCAUGGUGGGGGUUGGAAAGUUUCGGCGGUUGGGGAUGGACUCGCGGCUUAUCAGCUUGUUGGUGGGGUAGUGGCUUACCAAGGCUUUGACGGGUAGCCGGCCUGGGAGGGUGACCGGCCACAUUGGUCCUGCGAUACGGCCCAGACUCCUACGUGAGGCAGCAGUGGGGAAUAUUGCACAAUGGUCGGAAGCCUGAUGCAGCAACGCCGCGUUCGUGAUGACGGCCUUCGGGUUGUAAACCGCUUUCGCCUGUGACGAAGCGUUAGUGACGGUAAUGGGUAAAGAAGCACCGGCUAACUACGUG